rnacentral:rRNA from 1 species
UACGGGGGGGGCAAGCGGUGUUCGGAAUUACUGGGCGUAAAGGGCUCGUAGGCGGCCAACUAAGUCAGACGUGAAAUCCCUCGGCUUAACCGGGGAACUGCGUCUGAUACUGGAUGGCUUGAAUCCGGGAGAGGGAUGCGGAAUUCCAGGUGUAGCGGUGAAAUGCGUAGAUAUCUGGAGGAACACCGGUGGCGAAGGCGGCAUCCUGGACCGGCAUUGACGCUGAGGAGCGAAAGCCAGGGGAGCAAACGGG